GAGGGGCAGCGAGUAGAUUGCUUGCAAUCUACGUCGGCGACCGGCGCACGGGUGCGUAACGCGUAUGCAACCUACCCAUUACAGGGGGAUAACACUGAGAAAUCGGUACUAAUACCCCAUAACAUCCAGGGAGGCAUCUUCUUGGGUUGAAAACUCCGGUGGUAAUGGAUGGGCAUGCGUUGUAUUAGUUAGUUGGUGGGGUAACGGCUCACCAAGACGACGAUACAUAGGGGGACUGAGAGGUUAACCCCCCACAUUGGUACUGAGACACGGACCAAACUCCUACGGGAGGCAGCAGUGAGGAAUAUUGGUCAAUGGACGCAAGUCUGAACCAGCCAUGCCGCGUGCAGGAAGACGGCUCUAUGAGUUGUAAACUGCUUUUGUACGAGGGUAAACGCAGAUACGUGUAUCUGUCUGAAAGUAUCGUACGAAUAAGGAUCGGCUAACUCCGUGCCAGCAGCCGCGGUAAUACGGAGGAU
rnacentral:rRNA from 1 species